GAAGGUGGCUAGCGUUGUUCGGUGUCACUGGGCUUAAAGCGUAUGUAGGCGGAAGAGUAAGCGUUUUGUGAAAUCCCUCGGCUUAACCGAGGAAUUGCUUGACGAACUGCUUUUCUUGAGGCAAGUAGGGGUGCAUGGAACUCUUGGUGGAGCGGUGGAAUGCGUAGAUAUCAAGAGGAACGCCAAUGGAGAAAUCAGUGCACUGGGCUUGUCCUGACGCUCAGAUACGAAAGCGUGGGGGGAGCGAACGGGAUUAGAUGCCCCGGUAGUCCACGCUGUAAACGAUGUCUACUAGGUUGUGGGAGUUCUGACACUGUCGCGACCGAAGCAAAAGUGUUAAGUAGACCGCCUGGGAGUACGGUCGCAAGGCUA
rnacentral:rRNA from 1 species